AGUGAACGCUGGCGGUAGGCCUAACACAUGCAAGUCGAACGGCAGCACAGUAAGAGCUUGCUCUUACGGGUGGCGAGUGGCGGACGGGUGAGGAAUACAUCGGAAUCUACUUUUUCGUGGGGGAUAACGUAGGGAAACUUACGCUAAUACCGCAUACGACCUACGGGUGAAAGCAGGGGAUCUUCGGACCUUGCGCGAUUGAAUGAGCCGAUGUCGGAUUAGCUAGUUGGCGGGGUAAAGGCCCACCAAGGCGACGAUCCGUAGCUGGUCUGAGAGGAUGAUUAGCCACACUGGAACUGAGACACGGUCCAGACUCCUACGGGGGGCAGCGGUGGGGAAUAUUGGACAAUGGGCGCAAGCCUGAUCCAGCCAUACCGCGUGGGUGAAGAAGGCCUUCGGGUUGUAAAGCCCUUUUGUUGGGAUAGAAAAGCAGCAGGUUAAUACCCCGCUGUUCUGACGGUACCCAAAGAAUAAGCACCGGCUAACUUCGUG
rnacentral:rRNA from 1 species